AAAGAGUGCGUAACAGCUCACUAGUCGAAUGACUCUGCGCCGAUAAUUUACCGGGGCUAAGCAUGACACCGAAGCUAUGGACAGGAAUGUGGUAGGGGAGCAUUGCAUGCAGCGGAGAAGCAUGACCGGAAGGGCAUGUGGAGCGCAUGGAAGAGAGAAUGCCGGCGUGAGUAGCGGCACGUGGGUGAGAAUCCCACGCACCGAUGGCCCAAGGUCUCCAGAGGAAGGCUCGUCCUCUCUGGGAUAGUCGGGACCUAAGGCGAGGCCGAAAGGCGUAGCCGAUGGACGACGGGUGGAUAUUCCCGUACCCGAUGUGUGGCGAUGGAGUGACGGAGAAGGCUCAGGCAACCAGCUGCUGGAAUAGCUGGGGCAAGCGAGAUACCUGCGCACCAGGGAAAUCCGGUGCGCAUAAGGGGAAGGCGCGAUGCAUACGGAAAGCUUCGGCAAGUACGGAAAAGCUGAGAGCAGGCUUCCAGGAAAAGCUUCUAGCACAACACACAUCGGCCCGUACCGAAAAUGGACACACAUGGGCAAGGAGAGAAUCCUGAGGUGAGCGAGAGAACUAUAGCUAAGGAACUCUGCAAAAUGACCCCGUAACCUAGGGAGAAGGGGUGCUCCAGAAAUGGAGCCGCAGUAAAACGGCCCAAGCGACUGUUUACCAAAAACACAGCUCUCUGCGAAGGCGCAAGCCGAAGUAUAGGGGGUGACGCCUGCCCGGUGCUGGAAGGUCAAGGGGAGCUGUCAGCGCAAGCGAAGCAGCGAGCCGAAGCCCCAGUAAACGGCGGCCGUAACUAUAACGGUCCUAAGGUAGCGAAAUUCCUUGUCGGGCAAGUUCCGACCCGCACGAAAGGCGUAACGAUUUGGGCGCUGUCUCAGCUGUAGACUCGGUGAAGUCUUAGUACCUGUGAAGAUGCAGGUUGCCCGCGACUAGACGGAAAGACCCCAUGGAGCUUCACUGCAGGUUGACAUUGGGCUUGGAUGCAUGAUGUACAGGAUAGGUGGGAGGCUGUGAGCCGUGCGCGCCAGCGUACGGGGAGCCGCUGUUGGGAUACCACCCUUCAUGCAUCUAGGCCCUAACCGGAGGCAACGGGCCACGGGACAGUGUCAGUCGGGCAGUUUGACUGGGGCGGUCGCCUCCCAAAGAGUAACGGAGGCGCCCAAAGAUACCCUCAGCAUGGAUGGAAACCAUGCAUAGAGUGCAAAGGCAUAAGGGUGUCUGACUGCGAGACAUACAGGUCGAGCAGGGACGAAAGUCGGGCUUAGUGAUCCGGCGGAUCCGAAUGGAAGGGCCGUCGCUCAACGGAUAAAAGCUACCCUGGGGAUAACAGGCUGAUCUCCCCCAAGAGUUCACAUCGACGGGGAGGUUUGGCACCUCGAUGUCGGCUCAUCGCAUCCUGGAGCUGAAGUCGGUUCCAAGGGUUGGGCUGUUCGCCCAUUAAAGCGGUACGCGAGCUGGGUUCAGAACGUCGUGAGACAGUUCGGUCCCUAUCUGUCGUGGGCGCAGGAGGUUUGAGGAGAGCUGCCCCUAGUACGAGAGGACCGGGGUGGACGGACCGAUGGUGCACCAGUUGUCACGCCAGUGGCACAGCUGGGCAGCCAAGUCCGGACGGGAUAAGCGCUGAAGGCAUCUAAGCGUGAAGCCCCCUCCAAGAUGAGACCUCCCAUUGGCGACAAGUAAGGCCCCUCGAAGACGACGAGGUUGAUAGGCCGCGAGUGCAAGCGCAGCGAUGUGCUUAGCGGGGCGGUACUAAUAGGCCGAGGACUUGGCCAA
rnacentral:rRNA from 1 species